rnacentral:rRNA from 1 species
UACGUAGGGUGCGUGCGUUGUCCGGAAUUACUGGGCGUAAAGAGCUCGUAGGUGGUUUGUCGCGUUGUCCGUGAAAACUCACAACUCAAUUGUGGGCGUGCGGGCGAUACGGGCAGACUGGAGUACUGCAGGGGAGACUGGAAUUCCUGGUGUAGCGGUGGAAUGCGCAGAUAUCAGGAGGAACACCGGUGGCGAAGGCGCCUAUCUGGCCCGAUACUGACGCUGAGGCGCGAAAGCUAGGGGAGCAAACGGG